GACGAACGCUGGCGGCGUGCCUAAUACAUGCAAGUAGAACGCAGUUGCGAACGGGUGAGUAACGAGUAGGUAACUGCCUCAUAGUGGGGGAUAACUAUUGGAAACGAUAGAUUAUACCGCAUACUGUGAGAUGGACCUGCGUUGUAUUAGCUAGUUGGUGAGUUAAAGGCUCACCAAGGCGACGAUACAUAGCCGACCUGGCAGGAGAAUCAGCCACACAGGGAGUGGGACAAGGCCCAGAAUCCUUCAGGAAGCAGCCGGAGGGAAGCUUCGGCAAAGGACGGAAGUCUGACCGAGCAACGCCGCGUGGUUAAAGAAGGUGUUCGGAAGGGAAAACUCUGUUGUUAGAGAAGCGGUAACUAACCAGAAAGGGACGACUAACUACGUGCCAGCAGCCGCGGUAAUUC
rnacentral:rRNA from 1 species